rnacentral:rRNA from 1 species
UCAGGAUGAACGCUGGCGGCGUGCCUAACACAUGCAAGUCGAACGGAAACCAGACGCUACUGCGAUUCGGUCAAGGUUGUCUGGUUUAGUGGCGGACGGGUGAGUAACGCGUGGAUAACCUGCCAUAUACAGGGGGAUAACAGUUAGAAAUGACUGCUAAUACCGCAUAAGCGCACAGUCUCGCAUGGGACAGUGUGAAAAGCCGAGACGGUAUAUGAUGGAUCCGCGUCUGAUUAGCCAGUUGGCGGGGUAACGGCCCACCAAAGCGACGAUCAGUAGCCGGCCUGAGAGGGUGAACGGCCACAUUGGGACUGAGACACGGCCCAAACUCCUACGGGAGGCAGCAGUGGGGGAUAUUGCACAAUGGGGGAAACCCUGAUGCAGCGACGCCCGCGUGAGUGAAGAAGUAUUUCGGUAUGUAAAGCUCUAUCAGCAGGGAAGAUAAUGACGGUACCUGACUAAGAAGCACCGGCUAAAUACGUGCCAGCAGCUGC